UACGGAGGGUGCGAGCGUUAAUCGGAAUUACUGGGCGUAAAGCGCGCGUAGGCGGUGGAUCAAGUCCCUUGUGAAAGCCCUGGGCUCAACCUGGGAAUGGCAGGGGAAACUGGUCGGCUAGAGUGUGGUAGAGGGUGGCGGAAUUUCCGGUGUAGCAGUGAAAUGCGUAGAGAUCGGAAGGAACACCAGUGGCGAAGGCGGCCAUCUGGACCAACACUGACGCUGAGGGGCGAAAGCGUGGGGAGCAAACAGG
rnacentral:rRNA from 1 species